GAUGAACGCUGGCGGCGUGCCUAAUACAUGCAAGUCGAGCGAACAGACGAGGAGCUUGCUCCUUCGACGUUAGCGGCGGACGGGUGAGUAACACGUAGGUAACCUACCUAUAAGACUGGGAUAACUUCGGGAAACCGGAGCUAAUACCGGAUAAUAUUUCGAACCGCAUGGUUCGAUAGUGAAAGAUGGCUUUGCUAUCACUUAUAGAUGGACCUGCGCCGUAUUAGCUAGUUGGUAAGGUAACGGCUUACCAAGGCAACGAUACGUAGCCGACCUGAGAGGGUGAGCGGCCACACUGGAACUGAGACACGGUCCAGACUCCUACGGGAGGCAGCAGUAGGGAAUCUGCCGCAAGGGGCGAAAGCCUGACGGAGCAACGCCGCGUGAGUGAUGAAGGUCUUCGGAUCGUAAAACUCUGUUAUUAGGGAAGAACAAACGUGUAAGUAACUGUGCACGUCUUGACGGUACCUAAUCAGAAAGCCACGGCUAACUACGUG
rnacentral:rRNA from 1 species